rnacentral:hammerhead_ribozyme from 1 species
AUCUAGCUGACGAGUCCUAAAAAAGACGAAAUCUGAGUCCUGGAU